ACUCCCUCGACUCCAGCUUCUCCGAUGCAGAUAAAUUUUUGCACCAACAGGAUUGGCGCUAGAGGAAGGGGCGUGUCUUCGCAGUACCCUUGUUCUUAAAGGAGCGCUCAAUGGGACCACCUCCGGUCGUCUUCUCCAGCAUCCUCUUCUCCUUCCUCCGCUAGAUCUUCGCCCGAUGCCUCCACGCAAAGCAUCCACACGAUGAUCCAUGACCUCCGCGGCCAGAUCUCAGGCUCCGACCUCACCUCCAGUCUUCCAGGCUCCUCCUCCUCCGGC
rnacentral:lncRNA from 1 species